GCGGCGAUAGCUCAGUAGGUAAAGCGCCAGGUGAGUAGAUGGCGUUACUCCGAGAGCUAUUAUCCACGCAGGUUCGAAUCCCGCCUGUGGCA
rnacentral:tRNA from 1 species